UACGUAGGGCGCGAGCGUUGUCCGGAUUUAUUGGGCGUAAAGAGCUCGUAGGCGGCUUGUCGCGUCGUCCGUGAAAACCAGGGGCUCAACCCCUGGCUUGCGGUCGAUACGGGCAGGCUAGAGUUCGGUAGGGGAGACUGGAAUUCCUGGUGUAGCGGUGAAAUGCGCAGAUAUCAGGAGGAACACCGGUGGCGAAGGCGGGUCUCUGGGCCGAUACUGACGCUGAGAAGCGAAAGCAUGGGGAGCGAACAGG
rnacentral:rRNA from 1 species